rnacentral:rRNA from 1 species
GACGUAGGGGGCCAGCGUUGCUCGGAAUUACUGGGCGUAAAGGGUUCGUAGGCGGUGCGGCAAGUCGGAAGUGAAAUCUCUGGGCUUAACUCAGAGGCUGCUUCCGAAACUGCCGUGCUAGAGUGCGGGAGAGGCGAGUGGAAUUGCAGGUGUAGCGGUGAAAUGCGUAGAUAUCUGCAGGAACACCCGUGGCGAAGGCGGCUCGCUGGACCGUAACUGACGCUGAGGAACGAAAGCUAGGGGAGCAAACAGG